AAAAAUUGUUUAGUCACAUUUGAUAAUCCAUAUUUUAAUUUAUUUGUAUUACUGGAUAGACCUUAGAUGGCAUAAUUAAGAUGGAGAGCAAUAAGCUUGGUAUUUCUUUCUCAGCAGUUGACUGAAUUUCCUAGGGCUACUCUGUAUAUAAUUUUUGUGUUUUUACUUUUGUUAGGCAUUUGAGAACAACCUUUUUCGUGCUCCAAUUUAUCUUCAUAAGAUGCCAGAAACUGAUUUCUUGAUCAUUCGGACAAGACAGGGUUACUAUAUUCGGGAAUUAGUGGAUAUUUUUGUGGUUGGCCAGCAGUGUCCCUUGUUUGAAGUUCCUGGGCCUAACUCCAAAAGGGCCAAUACGCAUAUUCGAGACUUUCUACAGGUUUUUAUUUACCGCCUUUUCUGGAAAAGUAAAGAUCGGCCACGGAGGAUACGAAUGGAAGAUAU
rnacentral:sRNA from 1 species